AGACAGGAACCAUGGGAACUGUUUUUUCCCCGAUUGGUUAAGAAACAGAAACUCUUGUUGUCUCUGUCUUUGGUCUCAAACCCUAAAGUACUCUUCUCGGCUCUCUCUCCCUCCCUCGAUCUCUGUCCCCUUUCUCCUCCAAUCACUUCCUUUUCUAAUCAAAUUUGCGCGGGAAAUCUAGUUCCCAGGAAACCAACCAACCAACCAACCUUUUCAUCUCCGUUUGAGUGCUGUAUACAGAGCCCCGUAGCUAGAUUUGAUUUCUCCAACGACAUCUGGGCUUUGUCAAAAACGUGAAUCGUAUUGCUAGUGAUCAUGCAAAAGCAAUCCAGAGCGUGAUAAAGAAGAUGGAACCUGAACGUACCAAAUUUGGAGGUCCUAAAGAGCUGUGUGGUGCAGUGGAUCUUAUAUCACAAUACAAACUAUUGCAACACCAUGAAUUCUUUUGCAAGAAAUCACUUACCGCGUCUCUAUCAGAUUCCCAUUAUCUUCAUAACGUGGUUGGGGACACAGAGAUCAGAAAGGGAGAAGGAAUGCAGUUAGAUCAGCUUGUUCAGUACAUGUCACAGAGCCGGGAGACUAACAUCCAACCUUUUGAUAUGGAUGAGCUUAUGGAGGCUUUCCAACUCAGUGAUAUGACUCCUGUUGAAUUGCCUCUAGAAGAGAAGGGGGCUCCUACAAUUCCACCCAAGUCAAAAAGUGAGUCGAAGGAUAAGGACAGGAAACAUAAGAAACACAAGGACAGGGGUAAGGACAAAGAUAGAGAGCAUAAGAAGCACAAACACAGGCAUAGAGACAGAAGUAAGGAUAAAGACAAGGACCGAGACAGGAAAAAGGAGAAAAAUGGACACCACGAUUCGGGUGAACACUCUAAGAAACACCAUGAUAAGAAAAGGAAACACGAUGGGGAUGAAGAUCUAAAUGACAUUCAUAGGCACAAGAAAAACAAGCAUAAGAGCUCAAAGCUGGAUGAGAUGGGUGCAAUAAGGGUUGGUGGCUAGAUUGGCAGGCAUUCCCAAUUCUGUAUUCUGCAAAUCCAGUAGGUGUCACGGAGGAGGUUUAGAAAUCACUUUUCAACUCACUGUAGACUAUAUAUUAGAGGACUUUGUAGGUUAAAAUCUCAAAAUGGUGAAUUCAUUCCUUGAAGAAGAAGAAGAAAGGGGGAAUUUGUGAAGAAGAAGCAUAAUUCGUAUCACACAAUUGAUUUGGUGGCAGCUUUGUAACAUUUUGGUCGUGGGGGGUGUUUUCUUGUUCCAUGUCUUUUCUGUCUAUAAAAUCAAAAUACACUCGCAUUGUUUACUCUUAUUCAUGUAAAAUAAUUUGUUAUCCAGAUAAUGUUGUUGAAAAAGGGACUGUUAGUGUUCCAAUA